rnacentral:lncRNA from 1 species
UUAGUUAGGUAACUUCAAUGUAUAUGAUUAAUGCUGAGUAGUGGCUAAUGCCGAUAAAUGUAUUUUAUAUGAAAAGAAAAUAUAUAUUAAAUCAUACUUUAUGAGCAUUUUUCCCUUCCUAAUAAGUGAUAUCCGAUUAUCUUGUAUAUGCGUAAUGGAUACAAUAAUCUUUAUAUUUAUUUUGGGUGGGGUUUGAAUUUUAGAGUUGUUUACAUAGAAGGUUACUUUUCCUGUUUUGUUUGCAUCUUCACAUACUCUGGACUUGAGGAGUACUUUGUGACUUACUUUAUCAUUUUUUCUUCCAAAAAUGCUCUUUUGUAGGACAGGAUGGACUUCGUGGUUAAGAAAUAAGGGUUGAAGGAACUAGGUUUGAGUAUCUAGUUAGAUUGUCCGGUUCCAAUUAAUGGAUAGGUGCAUGAGACAGUGGGCUUUAUGGUGAGCCGUUAGAUUUAGUUAUUUUUGAAAGGGAUCCGACGGCUAUUGUUAAAAGAAGUACAUCGCUACUAAAAGCGGUAACGUGAGUUUAUAAUUAAUAUGUAUCAGAUUUAUGGAGCUCUGAGCUUUUAGCACAGCCGAUAGAUUUUUUUAUUUUAAGAAUGAUCUGAUGGUUGGUGUCUAAUCCAUGGUUAAGGUAGUUGUGGUUGAAUUGUGUGCGGCAGGAAGCAGUUGUGGUCAUGAAUUUUGAUGUAGUGAAAGGCAUGGUUAUGGACGCAUAAUUGUUGUGGUUAGUGAAAUUAGUUGACAGGAGCGUGGACAA